GACGAACGCUGGCGGCGUGCCUAAUACAUGCAAGUCGAACGAGAGCGACCGGUGCUUGCACUGGUCAAUCUAGUGGCGAACGGGUGAGUAACACGUGGGUAACCUGCUCAUCAGAGGGGGAUAACAUCCGGAAACGGAUGCUAAAACCGCAUAAGUCUUCGAGCCGCAUGGCUUGAAGAGGAAAAGAGGCGCAAGCUUCUGCUGAUGGAUGGACCCGCGGUGCAUUAGCUAGUUGGUGAGGUAACGGCUCACCAAGGCCGUGAUGCAUAGCCGACCUGAGAGGGUGAUCGGCCACAUUGGGACUGAGACACGGCCCAAACUCCUACGGGAGGCAGCAGUAGGGAAUCUUCCGCAAAGGUCGCAAGUCUGACGCAGCAACGCCGCGUGAGUGAAGAAGGUUUUCGGAUCGUAAAACUCUGUUGUUAGAGAAGAACAAGUGCUAGAGUAACUGUUAGCGCCUUGACGGUAUCUAACCAGAAAGCCACGGCUAACUACGUG
rnacentral:rRNA from 1 species